UUGUCCUACGGGGGGCAGCAGUGGGGAAUAUUGCACAAUGGGGGAAACCCUGAUGCAGCAACGCCGCGUGAGUGAAGAAGUCAUUCGUGAUGUAAAGCUCUAUCAGCAGGGAAGAAAAUGACGGUACCUGAGUAAGAAGCCCCGGCUAACUACAUGCCAGCAGCCGCGGUAAUACGUAGGGGGCAAGCGUUAUCCGGAUUUACUGGGUGUAAAGGGAGCGUAGACGGCUGUGCAAGCCAGAUGUGAAAGCCCGGGGCUCAACCCCGGGACUGCAUUUGGAACUGCGUGGCUGGAGUGUCGGAGAG
rnacentral:rRNA from 1 species